rnacentral:rRNA from 1 species
AGUGAACGCUGGCGGUAGGCCUAACACAUGCAAGUCGAACGGCAGCACAGUAAGAGCUUGCUCUUACGGGUGGCGAGUGGCGGACGGGUGAGGAAUACAUCGGAAUCUACUUUUUCGUGGGGGAUAACGUAGGGAAACUUACGCUAAUACCGCAUACGACCUACGGGUGAAAGCAGGGGAUCUUCGGACCUUGCGCGAUUGAAUGAGCCGAUGUCGGAUUAGCUAGUUGGCGGGGUAAAGGCCCACCAAGGCGACGAUCCGUAGCUGGUCUGAGAGGAUGUACGCCCACAUGGGAACAGAGACAGGCCCAAGACUCCAAGGGGAGGAGGCGGUGGGGAAUUUUGGACAAGGGGCGCAAGCCUGACCCAGCAAUACGGGGGGGGGAAAAAGGGCUUUGGGUUGUUAAACCCUUUUUGUGGGAAAAAAAAAGUAGGAGGUUAAUCCCCCGCUUUUCUGACGGUACCAAAAGAAAAAGCCCCGGCUAACUUCGUG